rnacentral:rRNA from 1 species
UACGUAGGGUGCAAGCGUUGUCCGGAAUUUAUUGGGCGUAAAGAGCUCGUAGGCGGUCUGUCGCGUCUGGUGUGAAAACUCAAGGCUUAACCUUGGGCCGCUGCAUCGGGUACGGGCAGAUAGAGUGCGGUAGGGGAGACUGGAAUUCCUGGUGUAGCGGUGAAAUGCGCAGAUAUCAGGAGGAACACCGGUGGCAAGGCGGGUCUCUGGGCCGUAACUGACGCUGAGGAGCGAAAGCAUGGGGAGCGAACAGG